UGUAACCCAGGAAAGUACCUAAGUUCCAAGUUGGGUUAGUAAUCAGGCGAACAUUUCCACCACCAGGAGCCCAGGGAUCAUAAAGACCGCCAAAGAACAUGGCUUUUGCAGCAAAAGCAAGAGCACCAAUUCCGAGGAAGAUUAAGUGAAUCCCCAGGAUCUGCAUCAUCUUUUCUUUGUCUUCCCA
rnacentral:antisense_RNA from 1 species